rnacentral:misc_RNA from 1 species
GUAGAGCUUCAGAAGCUUCCAGUGAGGAAUUUCUGUAGUGUUGCUCGCAUUGGUAAGUAUAUAUGCAUUUUGAAAGACAAUUGUUUGUAAGUUUGAGUCUUGCCCUUGUUCCGUUUCUCAUUAUGUUUAUUACAUUUUUUAUGAUAUUGGUUUUACCAUGGAUUUCUUUUUCCUUACAUAGUUCUAUGUCUAAGUAAUUUUUAUAAUGCGUUAUUUACUAGCUUUUCAAAAUUUUCAUAAACAGUAGAAAUUUGCAACAUGAGGAGCUAGUUAAGAAUAUGGAAAGAUAGGAGCAAGAGAAUACCACAUUGUCAGUUCUUACAACAGUGUUCUUUGUGUCAUAGCUUCACUUGGGUUUUGUAAACAGAAUAAUCUAGUGAAAUUGGGGCAGAGUGUCAUUUGUCUUCCCACUUAAAGUAAGGACAAGGUUAACAGGAAGGUAUUUUGGGAAAGCUAGAGCAGACUGCUGUCAUCUAAUAUUUCCAACUUUUUGUUAUUCUAAAAAUAUAUGUUUGUCAGUGAGGAAUUCUUGAACUCUCUUGUUACAUGCGGCAACUAGCACAUAGCUAUUCUAAUGAACAAAAUCGAGGCUACAUUUUUUUGGGCAAUUUACUUCUUUGAGAUAUGAGAUGAUUUAGUUACGUGCUUAGGGAACUUCAUUUGGAUUCCAAACUCUCCACAUGGAGUGGAUUUUUAAUUGGUUAUUUUUCAUUUACACAAACUUCAACCAGCACUUUUAAGAGGCUAAAACUUUCUGUUGAUUUUGAUAAUAUCUGUUGAAGGCACACCUGUUUUUGAAGAUGUGGCCUUGUUGUGGGCAACUUCAUUUGUUAAUUCCUUUCUUUCUUAUUUUGUAUAUAAUCUUUCAAGGGAAUGUGCAAUAAUUCAUUGUAGUUUUAAUCAACAGAUAGACUUUCUUCACAGAGGAAAUAUUCAACACACCAAAAAAAAAAAAAAGUAAAAGAAGAAGUUGCCAAUUUGGAGAUAGACAUGUAGCUUGACACCUUCGCCUGCAUGAAGAGCCGCAGUGCGGUUGUCGUUGUCCAUUUUAUCUUUCAAUGCUUUGAAAGGCCGUUGUCAUAAACUCAUCAGCCAAACAAUGCCCAACGAGUGGAGUUUUAUUCCUUUAAUUUUUCCUAGAUUUUCUAAACCUCCGAGUACAUCCGACGUAACCCAACCUAAAAGCCAUCAAAGGAAUAGACUUUGGAAUUUCCUUUGGGAACCAUGAAGCUCUAGUUUCCAAAUCCCAUUGCACCACCGUAACUUAGGAGACACUUUUGAGCUCGCUGCAUAUAAUUCACUCACACGCUAAGCCAAACCAAGUCUCGAAGUAAAUUCAUCAUGGACCCUUCCUCCGCCACUCCUCUCCCCCGCCAAAAUCCGUGGUGGCGCCGCCAUGUGCUUCUCAAAACCAGCCUCUCCUCCGAACUCUCUGGAGCAGUGGGUGACCUUGGCACCUUCAUCCCUAUAGUUCUCACACUCACUCUGGUUUCCCACCUUGACCUUUCCACCACCCUAAUCUUCACCUCCCUUUACAACAUUUCCACUGGCCUCCUCUUCGGUGUUCCAAUGCCCGUCCAGCCCAUGAAGUCCAUCGCCGCCGUUGCCGUCUCUGAGCUCCCCCAUCUCACCACAGCCCAGAUCGCCACCGCAGGUGCCACCACCGCCGCCACCCUCCUUAUACUCGGUGCCACCGGCCUCAUGUCCUUCUUCUACAGCUUCAUCCCUCUCCCUGUUGUCCGCGGCGUUCAGCUCUCCCAGGGCCUUUCUUUCGCCUUUUCUGCCAUCAAAUACAUUCGAUACAAUCAAGAUUUUAUCGCUUCCAAAUCUACCACUCCUCGGUCUUGG